UGGACAUUGGCGUCGUUUCUCGACGAAGGGAAUUGCUGACGGCGGAGUGAUAAAGGGACGGCCUCGCCUGUCCGGGAGGCCUCUGCGCGCGGGGUCAGUGGGAUCUGACCCUGCAGUCAUCUUACCUCCAGCGAUGCUGGCAAUGAGUGUGCUCGGUGUGAGGGGCGUCACCGGUCCGAUCGGCG